UUAAUGUUACUUGAUGGUAGCAUAUUUUUUCAAAGUUCAGCUGUGUCCUGAUAUAGAAGAUAUUCAUGGGACUUCCUGUUGGCCAUCUUGGUUAUGAGCAUUAAAA